rnacentral:rRNA from 1 species
GCCCGGGGCUCGCUUCAAAGUCAGUGGCGGCCGCCGUCCGACCUUCAGCGCAGUAAUGCUCGCCGCUGUUAGGGAAGGGCAGCAAGGGCCGUCAUACAACCCCCACACACAAGGUUGACCUCGGAUCAGGUAGGGAUACCCGCUGAACUUAAGCAUAUCAAUAAGCGGAGGAAAAGAAACCAACAGGGAUUGCCUCAGUAACGGCGAGUGAAGCGGCAACAGCUCAAAUUUGAAAGCUGGCUCCUUCGGGGCCCGCGUUGUAAUUUGUAGAGGAUGCUUCGGGCGCGGCGCCGGUCUAAGUUCUCUGGAACGAGACGUCAUAGAGGGUGAGAAUCCCGUAUGUGACUGGCCGCCUGUGCCCAUGUGAAGCUCCUUCGACGAGUCGAGUUGUUUGGGAAUGCAGCUCAAAAUGGGAGGUGUACUCCUUCUAAAGCUAAAUAUUGGCCAGAGACCGAUAGCGCACAAGUAGAGUGAUCGAAAGAUGAAAAGCACUUUGGAAAGAGAGUUAAACAGUACGUGAAAUUGUUGAAAGGGAAGCGCUUGCAAUCAGACUUGCGCGGCGUCGAUCAGCCUGGGUUCUCCCUGGUGCACUCGGCGCCGCUCAGGCCAGCAUCAGUUUCGGCGGUGGGAUAAAGGCCUAGGGAACGUGGGUCCCCU